rnacentral:rRNA from 1 species
GCUUCGGUCUGGUGAAAGUGGCAGACGGGUGAGUAACGCGUGGGAACCUGCCCUGUGGUAGGGAAUAACCGCGGGAAACUGCGGCUAAUACCCUAUGUGUCCUGAGGGACAAAGAUUUAUCGCCAUAGGAGGGGCCCGCGUCGGAUUAGGUAGUUGGUGGGGUAACGGCCUACCAAGCCAUCGAUCCGUAGCUGGUCUGAGAGGAUGAUCAGCCACACUGGGACUGAGAUACGGCCCAGACUCCUACGGGAGGCAGCAGUGGGGAAUAUUGGACAAUGGGGGCAACCCUGAUCCAGCAAUGCCGCGUGGGUGAUGAAGGCCUUCGGG